rnacentral:rRNA from 1 species
AUUGAACGCUGGCGGCAGGCCUAACACAUGCAAGUCGAGCGGAUGAAGGGAGCUUGCUCCUGGAUUCAGCGGCGGACGGGUGAGUAAUGCCUAGGAAUCUGCCUGGUAGUGGGGGAUAACGUCCGGAAACGGGCGCUAAUACCGCAUACGUCCUGAGGGAGAAAGUGGGGGAUCUUCGGACCUCACGCUAUCAGAUGAGCCUAGGUCGGAUUAGCUAGUUGGUGGGGUAAGGACCUACCAAGGCGACGAUCCGUAACUGGUCUGAGAGGAUGAUCAGUCACACUGGAACUGAGACACGGUCCAGACUCCUACGGGAGGCAGCAGUGGGGAAUAUUGGACAAUGGGCGAAAGCCUGAUCCAGCCAUGCCGCGUGUGUGAAGAAGGUCUUCGGAUUGUAAAGCACUUUAAGUUGGGAGGAAGGGCAGUAAGUUAAUACCUUGCUGCUUUGACGUUACCAACAGAAUAAGCACCGGCUAACUUCGUG